rnacentral:rRNA from 1 species
UACGUAGGGUGCGAGCGUUGCCCGGAUUUAUUGGGCGUAAAAGCGCGUGUAGGCGGACUUGUAAGUUGGGGGUGAAAUCCCGAGGCUCAACCUCGGAACUGCCUCCAAAACUACAAGUCUGGAGCAAGAUAGAGGCAAGUGGAAUUGCGAGUGUAGAGGUGAAAUUCGUAGAUAUUCGCAAGAACACCAGUGGCGAAGGCGGCUCACUGGCCCGGUACUGACGCUGAGGUGCGAAAGCGUGGGGAGCAAACAGG